GUGGGGAAUAUUGGACAAUGGGCGCAAGCCUGAUCCAGCCAUGCCGCGUGUGUGAAGAAGGCCUUCGGGUUGUAAAGCACUUUUGUCCGGGAAGAAAUCUUCCAGGUUAAUACCCUGGGAGGCUGACGGUACCGGAAGAAUAAGCACCGGCUAACUUCGUGCCAGCAGCCGCGGUAAUACGAAGGGUGCAAGCGUUACUCGGAAUUACUGGGCGUAAAGCGUGCGUAGGUGGUUCGUUAAGUCUGCCGUGAAAGCCCCGGGCUCAACCUGGGAAUGGCGGUGGAUACUGGCGGGCUAGAGUGCGGUAGAGGGUGGUGGAAUUCCCGGUGUAGCAGUGAAGUGCGUAGAGAUCGGGAGGAACAUCUGUGGCGAAGGCGGCCACCUGGACCAGCACUGACACUGAGGCACGAAAGCGUGGGGAGCAAACAGGAUUAGAAACCCUGGUAGUCC
rnacentral:rRNA from 1 species